CUGUGAGCCAAACAGACCUCUCUUCCUGUUAGUAGCCUCUUGUCAAUUCUUGUCAAUUUUUUUUGUCACAAUGGUGAGGAAACUAACCUAAUGCCACUAGACAUUUUCUUAGACCUUUCAAACACAUAGUGCCAGGAGUUAGGCUUAAUGUGAACUAUGGGCUCUGAGCAAUAAAAUGUGUACAUGUAAAUCCACCCAUGGCGACAAAUGUGCCAUGGGGUGGGCUGGUGUUAGGAACACUGGACCUACGUGUCCACAGUGAUUGACAGAAAUAGAGAGAAGACAAAUCAUCAGAGAAACUGAAGGAGGAGCUGCUCCUGACUCAUACUUUUCAGAGUUCUGCCACAGAGGGAGAGGAGUCACCUGCCUUGUCUGGGGAUCAGCAAAUCUGGAUUCUAUUUAUACAUUCCCUUUAACCUGUCUGCUCUCAGUUCUGUCUUCAUCCCAGAUUUAGAAAGAUCAGAUAUCUCCAGUGUUUCAGCCUUCCAAAUGCAAGCUGCUAAUUUGCUCUUCACAUUUACCUAUUUUUUUUUCUUCAGGGUUAAACUUUUUCAAGUCUGGAAAACUCAGUUAUCACGAGUCCACUGCCUUUGCUGAUUCCAGGUCUCUUGCAAUAUUCUUCAUUCCCAACCUGCUAGUUUCAUGAUCUAAUCCAUGUUUAAUAGUACAGUAGAAGAAAAUGAAGGUGACUGUCUAGCACACACAAUCUCAGCAUUCAAGGAAGAAGCACGUAGACCUCUGUGAGUUCAAGGUUAGCCUGGUCUACAUAGCAAACAAACAAAUAAAAUAAUACACAUAUGUAUAGAAGUACGCAUACACACACAAAUGGAUGAACUCUAGUAAGAUGGCUUGGUGGUUAAGAGCAUUCUUAAGUAAUAUUCUUAGCAUAUUUGGUUCUGUCCUAUGUGUUAUACCAAA
rnacentral:lncRNA from 1 species